rnacentral:tRNA from 1 species
CGGGAUGUGGCGCAGGUUGGUAGCGCAUCCGCUUUGGGAGCGGAGGGUCGCAGGUUCAAAUCCUGUCAUCCCGACCA